rnacentral:rRNA from 1 species
UCGACGGCAGCACGGGAGCAAUCCUGGUGGCGAGUGGCGAACGGGUGAGUAAUGUAUCGGAACGUACCUUUCAGUGGGGGAUAACGUAGCGAAAGUUACGCUAAUACCGCAUAUUCUGUGAGCAGGAAAGCAGGGGAUCGCAAGACCUUGCGCUGAUUGAGCGGCCGAUAUCAGAUUAGCUAGUUGGUGAGGUAAAGGCUCACCAAGGCGACGAUCUGUAGCGGGUCUGAGAGGAUGAUCCGCCACACUGGAACUGAGACACGGUCCAGACUCCUACGGGAGGCAGCAGUGGGGAAUUUUGGACAAUGGGCGCAAGCCUGAUCCAGCCAUGCCGCGUGAGUGAAGAAGGCCUUCGGGUUGUAAAGCUCUUUCAGCCGGGAAGAAAACGCAUGGGUUAAUACCCUGUGUGGAUGACGGUACCGGAAUAAGAAGCACCGGCUAACUACGUGCCAGCAGCCGCGGUAAUACGUAGGGUGCGAGCGUUAAUCGGAAUUACUGGGCGUAAAGCGUGC